GACGAACGCUGGCGGCGUGCUUAACACAUGCCAGUCGAACGGAAAGGCCCUGCUUUUGUGGGGUGCUCGAGUGGCGAACGGGUGAGUAACACGUGAGUAACCUGCCCUUGACUUUGGGAUAACUUCAGGAAACUGGGGCUAAUACCGGAUAGGAGCUCCUGCUGCAUGGUGGGGGUUGGAAAGUUUCGGCGGUUGGGGAUGGACCCGCGGCUUAUCAGCUUGUUGGUGGGGUAGUGGCUUACCAAGGCUUUGACGGGUAGCCGGCCUGAGAGGGUGACCGGCCACAUUGGGACUGAGAUACGGCCCAGACUCCUACGGGAGGCAGCAGUGGGGAAUAUUGCACAAUGGGCGGAAGCCUGAUGCAGCAACGCCGCGUGCGGGAUGACGGCCUUCGGGUUGUAAACCGCUUUCGCCUGUGACGAAGCGUGAGUGACGGUAAUGGGUAAAGAAGCACCGGCUAACUACGUG
rnacentral:rRNA from 1 species